GACAGAGGCCCCGAGCGUUAGUCGGAAUUACUGGGCUUAAAGGGUGCGUAGGCGGGCGCGUAAGUGUCUUGUGAAAGCCCCGGGCUCAACCCGGGAAUUGCGGGGCAUACUGCGCGUCUCGAGGAAGCUAGAGGCCGGUGGAACGAUCGGUGGAGCGGUGGAAUGCGUAGAGAUCGAUCGGAACGCCAAGGGUGAAGACAACCGGCUGGGGCUUUCCUGACGCUGAGGCACGAAAGCGUGGGGAUCAAACAGG
rnacentral:rRNA from 1 species